GGUGGCUCAGUGGUAGAGCGCUUGCCUUGCAAGCAUGAGGACCUGGGUUCAAUUCCUCAGCACCA
rnacentral:tRNA from 1 species